UUGAACGCUGGCGGCAGGCCUAACCCCUGCAAGUCGCGCGGAUGAAGGGAGCUUGCUCCUGGAUUCAGCGGCGGACGGGUGAGUAAUGCCUAGGAAUCUGCCUGGUAGUGGGGGAUAACGUCCGGAAACGGGCGCUAAUACCGCAUACGUCCUGAGGGAGAAAGUGGGGGAUCUUCGGACCUCACGCUAUCAGAUGAGCCUAGGUCGGAUUAGCUAGUUGGUGGGGUAAAGGCCUACCAAGGCGACGAUCCGUAACUGGUCUGAGAGGAUGAUCAGUCACACUGGAACUGAGACACGGUCCAGACUCCUACGGGAGGCAGCAGUGGGGAAUAUUGGACAAUGGGCGAAAGCCUGAUCCAGCCAUGCCGCGUGUGUGAAGAAGGCCUUCGGAUUGUAAAGCACUUUAAGUUGGGAGGAGGGGCAGUAAGUUAAUACCUUGCUGUUUUGACGUUACCAACAGAAUAAGCACCGGCUAACUUCGUG
rnacentral:rRNA from 1 species